CUCAGCUGCACCCUCUCAGUUCAGGCAGCAGCAGUACCAGGUGUAUGUACAUAACUUCCAAGACACACGAGUGCAAUUCUGAAGCUGAUUUUCAGCCAUGGAGAGAAGAAAUGCAGGAUGCAGCCAAGAGUCAUUUUACUAAAGGCACAGGGAGAGGACACAUCAAAGGAAAAGGUCCAUCAAAUCACAAGGUUCCGUCAGGCGUGGGGACACCUGCCUUGCUGAUAUGUCUGCAAUGUUCCAAACUGGCAACGUCUCGUUUGUCUUCCAAGCUUCCUAUUAUGC